CAGCCGCCGCGGGAAUACGUAGGUGGCAAGCGUUGUCCGGAAUUAUUGGGCGUAAAGGGCUCGCAGGCGGUUUCUUAAGUCUGAUGUGAAAGCCCCCGGCUCAACCGGGGAGGGUCAUUGGAAACUGGGAAACUUGAGUGCAGAAGAGGAGAGUGGAAUUCCACGUGUAGCGGUGAAAUGCGUAGAGACGUGGAGGAACACCAGUGGCGAAGGCGACUCUCUGGUCUGUAACUGACGCUGAGGAGCGAAAGCGUGGGGAGCGAACAGGAUUAGAUACCCCAGUAGUCCCUGUCUCUUAUAC
rnacentral:rRNA from 1 species